AGGUUACGAUCCUCUCUUCGCGCNAUCACCGUUUUUACUGCGGAAGCCUUANCNGCCACUUUUUAGGCUGACUGAGUCGACGAUAAACAAAACCAGUCUUAACCGCUAGGUUCUACCGGCUUCAAUGCUGUUAGAGCAACACUACCAGAAUGCGGGAAACCUCUUGAUUUGAUUUGAAAGCAAGUAAGCACCAAGUAGGGGAGUUAUGCCCGUUCUCUUGGAGGUGGGAGAAUCCCUAUGGCCAGAGAGACUAGACUCUGGGUGCGGUAAAAGCCUUAACUUGUUAAUAGAGCGAUCCGCAGUUUUGAACGUAUCCCUCCUACAAGCAGGAUCGUUCCAAAUCCACAGACCAGACGGUAGUGGGUGGAAUUAUAAUAGCCAUAGUUCCAUCUAAGAUAUGGCCGANACCCCUANAUAGUUCCGGGGUGAACAGACUANUGUUUUAAGACUUGGAUUGUAUAUAUACAUAUAUAUACCAAGUAACUGAAAAUUGCUAGUUUGUUACGAGUGUUNCNGUAGGUGAACCUGCGGAAGGAUCAUUA
rnacentral:rRNA from 1 species